rnacentral:miRNA from 1 species
UAGUACUGCAAUGUAGACAUUGCAGGUUCUCAAAAGCUGCAAUGUUUUACAUUGCAGAACUA